rnacentral:misc_RNA from 1 species
AAGACUAUAGACCUGCGGAGUACCUGCGGAGGGAUCAUUACCGAGUUAUACAACUCAUCAACCCUGUGAACAUACCUAUAACGUUGCCUCGGCGGGAACAGACGGCCCCGUAACACGGGCCGCCCCCGCCAGAGGACCCCCUAACUCUGUUUCUAUAAUGUUUCUUCUGAGUAAACAAGCAAAUAAAUUAAAACUUUCAACAACGGAUCUCU